rnacentral:rRNA from 1 species
GACGAACGCUGGCGGCGUGCCUAAUACAUGCAAGUAGAACGCUGAAGGAGGAGCUUGCUCUUCUGGAUGAGUUGCGAACGGGUGAGUAACGCGUAGGUAACCUGCCUGGUAGCGGGGGAUAACUAUUGGAAACGAUAGCUAAUACCGCAUAAGAGUAGAUGUUGCAUGACAUUUACUUAAAAGGUGCAAUUGCAUCACUACCAGAUGGACCUGCGUUGUAUUAGCUAGUUGGUGGGGUAACGGCUUACCAAGGCGACGAUACAUAGCCGACCUGAGAGGGUGAUCGGCCACACUGGGACUGAGACACGGCCCAGACUCCUACGGGGGCAGCAGUAGGGAAUCUUCGGCAAUGGACGGAAGUCUGACCGAGCAACGCCGCGUGAGUGAAGAAGGUUUUCGGAUCGUAAAGCUCUGUUGUAAGAGAAGAACGAGUGUGAGAGUGGAAAGUUCACACUGUGACGGUAUCUUACCAGAAAGGGACGGCUAACUACGUG